rnacentral:rRNA from 1 species
AUUGAACGCUGGCGGCAGGCCUAACACAUGCAAGUCGAGCGGCAGCGACUUAACUGAACCUUCGGGGAACGUUAAGGGCGGCGAGCGGCGGACGGGUGAGUAAUGCCUGGGAAUAUGCCCUGAUGUGGGGGAUAACUAUUGGAAACGAUAGCUAAUACCGCAUAAUCUCUUCGGAGCAAAGAGGGGGACCUUCGGGCCUCUCGCGUCAGGAUUAGCCCAGGUGGGAUUAGCUUGUUGGUGAGGUAAUGGCUCACCAAGGCAACGAUCCCUAGCUGGUCUGAGAGGAUGAUCAGCCACACUGGAACUGAGACACGGUCCAGACUCCUACGGGAGGCAGCAGUGGGGAAUAUUGCACAGUGGGGGAAACCCUGAUGCAGCCAUGCCGCGUGUGUGAAGAAGGCCUUCGGGUUGUAAAGCACUUUCAGUAGGGAGGAAGGUAGUGUAGUUAACACCUGCAUUAUUUGACGUUACCUACAGAAGAAGCACCGGCUAACUCCGUGCCAGCAGCCGCGGUAAUACGGAGGGUGCGAGCGUUAAUCGGAAUUACUGGGCGUAAAGCGCAUGCAGGCGGCCUGUUAAGUCAGAUGUGAAAGCCCGGGGCUUAACCUCGGAAUUGCAUUUGAAACUGGCAGGCUAGAGUCUUGUAGAGGGGGGUAGAAUUUCAGGUGUAGCGGUGAAAUGCGUAGAGAUCUGAAGGAAUACCAGUGGCGAAGGCGGCCCCCUGGACAAAGACUGACGCUCGGAUGCGAAAGCGUGGGGAGCAAACAGG